ACGCACGCUGGCGGCGUGCUUAACCCCUGCACGUCGCACGGAAAGGCCCUGCUUUUGUGGGGUGCUCGAGUGGCGAACGGGUGAGUAACACGUGAGUAACCUGCCCUUGACUUUGGGAUAACUUCAGGAAACUGGGGCUAAUACCGGAUAGGAGCUCCUGCUGCAUGGUGGGGGUUGGAAAGUUUCGGCGGUUGGGGAUGGACUCGCGGCUUAUCAGCUUGUUGGUGGGGUAGUGGCUUACCAAGGCUUUGACGGGUAGCCGGCCUGAGAGGGUGACCGGCCACAUUGGGACUGAGAUACGGCCCAGACUCCUACGGGAGGCAGCAGUGGGGAAUAUUGCACAAUGGGCGGAAGCCUGAUGCAGCAACGCCGCGUGCGGGAUGACGGCCUUCGGGUUGUAAACCGCUUUCGCCUAUGACGAAGCGUGAGUGACGGUAAUGGGUAAAGAAGCACCGGCUAACUACGUG
rnacentral:rRNA from 1 species